CAUUUUGAAAUUGGCUACAAAGCUGCACGCAAAAUUGAGCGUCAUUUACAACUGGAGGUGGCGAACCGUAAAAAACAAACAACUACUUAUUUUAAAAUGAUGCUUCUGUAUUAAAUUUCACCCUGGAAGAGCUGAACUGUAAAGAAGGGGUGACAGGAAGAUCUAGACAGCAGAACUGAAGCCCUCUUCCAAAUACAAUAGCCUGUGGUUCUGAUGUCACUUCGUAAGAAAGGCUAAUGGCGAGACUGAGGCAGACUUGUAACUGGGACAGACAAAUAUGUCACUGAAGACCGAAAAUAACAUACACAAAACCAGCCAUAAUUGAGCCUUGAGGUAUUCCAUCAUUAACAGGCUUGACUUCGAACAGACAUUACCUAUACUUGGUCCUACUUUCUUCCUGACAGGUAGGAUGCAAGCAACCACAUAAUAGCAUAUUAUUUAAGUUAGGGGAUUUCUCUCUAAGCAUGAACAGGCUGUGAUUCACAGUUAUCCAUCUUUUUGGUUUGAUAACACCAAUGGUGUCAAGAUAAUCCUGUUAUUAAAAAAAAAAAAAAAAAAGUUUGAUAGAAAGUUUAUCCUUAAACCUGCUUUCAUAAAAUUGAUUUUAAAAAAGACAAUUGUUCAAAAUGACUUUUUGUGGCAGUGAAAUAAUGAACCCUAUUCACAAAGCUUUAUCUUGUGAGUUAUCUGAAGUAUGUGUUGAUGGUGUGGCUGACCUAAGGAACUGCACAUGCAAGUAGUGUGUUGAUUUGAGUUGUAUAAAUAGUUUGUUGAAAUGUAUAAGUUUGAGGUUUAGAAUUACCACCCUAAUAAGAAAUGUGUGGAAUGUGGCCAGGCAUUAUAAUUGAUUUAUUGAUUAUCAAUGAACCCUGGCCACAUGCUAUGCAAGAGGAAAAUCGGUUCCUUUGUUCUCAACAAGCUGGAGAUGGGUGAGAAUGGUCCAUAGCUGGUUUC